ensembl:lncRNA
UGCAGUAAUGAAAGAAAUCACUGACACUAUUUCAAAUUCAUAGUUUCUUCUGAAGGUUUAAAGAAGAUGAAAACAACAAAGAGCAUCGACAACGUGAAAGACCCUGAGAUCAUUGGACACUAGUUGAUGGCUGUUGGAGGCCUACUGAGAAGAGGAAUGAGAUCUGCUUUCACCAUGAAGUACUUCCCUAGAAGUCAGCCAUGACACCCCAAAAGGUAUCUGAGCUGCUGAAGGCUAUCUUUGAGAUGAGAAAAGUGAUGGUGUUGACCCUGCUCAUUCAAUCAAAAUGUUAAUGCAACAUAAAACAUGGCUACCUGCAGAUUAAACAAGCCAGAAGAGAAUCUUAAUUAUGCACCAUUUCUCUCUAAUGUAUGUUUAUGAGUAAAAUUGAUUGUCAUCCAUUCCCAUUCCCUCUGUCAGUGCUGAAACCCAAAUAACAUGUUUGUUGUGUUACAGUCCAACAUUUUAGUUGGAACUGGUUUUAGUAUUUCGUCAUUUAUUGGAACUGGAAUAAUUUCUACUCUAUAAUACACUAUUUUCUGUAAAAUGGUUAGGAUAGAAUAACUGUAUAUGAUUGGAACACCUUCUAAAUAUAACAAAAGAAUGCAUUAGUCAAAAUAUACCUGCUGAACUUUCCACAUGAUGAACAUAAGUUCCUCAGAGAAUUUUCUGGUCUUUUUUUUUUUUUUUUUUUUUGUAUCAGUCCAUUCUUUGUCAUUUUCACUGCUGCUCCUCUUUAGAAACAGGUACAUUCCAUCCUUCCAGGCACAGAAGUUUUCAACUUUCUGAA